rnacentral:rRNA from 1 species
GUGCCAGCCGCCGCGGUAAUACCGGCAGCUCAAGUGAUGUCCCAUAUUAUUGGGCCUAAAGCGUCCGUAGCUGGCCGACCAAGUCUCCCGGGAAAUCCACCCGCCCAACGGGUGGGCGUCCAGCGGAAACUGUCCGGCUUGGGGCCGGAAGACCCGAGGGGUACGUCCAGGGUAGGAGUGAAAUCCUGUAAUCCUGGACGGACCGCCGGUGGCGAAAGCGCCUCGGGAGGACGGACCCGACAGUGAGGGACGAAAGCCAGGGUCUCGAACCGGAUUAGAUACCCUUGUAGUCC